UCUAGCGCUCCAUAAACCACUCUCUGAUCACGUGCCUCUGUGAGCCAAUCAGAGUUGUUCCCUGCACCGCGGAGCUUAGUGUCUAGAUGUGGACGUCACAGAGGACAGAGGAGUAACGGGAGGAAAACUCCACAACAGCAACACGUGGAAAGCAGAAGGGAUGGCAUCAUCCGCUGCCUGAUGGAGUACCUUGGAGAGUCUGGAGAGGAACUCAUCAAAGACUAUCAGGAUGUUAGCAGAGAAGCUAUCAAAGAGGAGUAUGCUGGGCAUGUCAUGAAGAUCUUUGUCCUCCGUGAAAGUUCAGCAGGUGAGGACCACACCCCUGCAGAUGUGUCCAUCAUCAUCGAGGGAACUGAGGUGCUUGAUGAUUGCAGAUAUGUGGCAAAGGCUUG